rnacentral:rRNA from 1 species
CAGCCACCGCGGUCAUACGAUUAACCCAAAUUAAUAGGCCCACGGCGUAAAACGUGUUAAGAACUACAACAAUACUAAAGUUAAAAUUUAACAAGGCCGUAAAAAGCUACUGUUAAUACAAAAUAUGCUACGAAAGUGACUUUACUAUAUCCGACAACACGAUAGCUGAGGCC